rnacentral:misc_RNA from 1 species
GAUGAAGAACGCAGCGAAAUGCGAUAAGUAAUGUGAAUUGCAGAAUUCAGUGAAUCAUCGAAUCUUUGAACGCACAUUGCGCCCGCUAGUAUUCUGGCGGGCAUGCCUGUCCGAGCGUCAUUUCAACCAUCAAGCCCCGGGCUUGUGUUGGGGUCCUGCGGCCGUCCGCAGCCCCCGAAAAGCAGUGGCGGGCUCGCUAUCACACCGAGUGCAGUAGUUUACUCUUCGCUCAGGGCGUGUGGCGGGUUCCGGCCGUAAAACCCCCUAUUUCUAAAGGUUGACCUCGGAUUAGGUAGGGAUACCCGCUGAACUUAAGCAUAUCAAUAAGCGGAGGA